AAGCAAGGAUGAUGACUAGCACUGGGCUAUGAAAUUUCAUGAUUCUAAAACGUGCUUUGUGGGCCCUGACAAGCUCACUUUCCUGACUUGCUU
rfam:Strongylocentrotus purpuratus Contig118234_fixed, whole genome shotgun sequence.